rnacentral:lncRNA from 1 species
AUUCUGAAAAUACACUCUCACGUACUCAACUGACUGGAUGAGAAUGCAUCUGGCCGGACGAAGCAGAAGCAAACCCACAGAAAGAAAUCCCCACAAACUGUCUUCCAGAAUGACCACGCCGCAGCCUCCCAAGGUCGCCUGAUCCCCUCCGACUCUGUAACAAGCACGCUCGCUCCACAGGGAGCCCAGGGCCCUUUCCGGAAGAGACGGGGCCCCAGACAAAAAGUUAAAUGGAUUUAAAUGUAAGCAGGUCUAAAAAGAAAGCAGAGUUUCCUUUUAGAAGCUUAAGAAAACAAUUAGAAAUAAAAGGAGGCCAGAAAGCACAGUUAAUGAAGGGGCCCGAGAAGCAAAGGCGAUGGGGAAAUUCACCCGCUUCACGAACACUUUUGCAAGGGCGAGACGGAGGGACCGCACCCAGAGCUCUUCUGACCUUGCCCUUGACUCACUGGGCUCUCACAGCUCACAUCCGCCCUCCGGGUGAGCUUAAAGUCGCCGCUCCAUGGAAAUGUUUGUUCUGCCUCUGGAGCAGAAGACACCGCUUCUGGUGGCCCUGGUGGCCCUGUCUCUGGGGCUCUGAGGUCCUGCCAGGCCAGGAGGAGGCUCUCUUCUUGUCUCACGAGCAGGAUUCGUCCAUGGUGGCGUCUCCAGGGCUUGGUUCAGGGCACAGAGCUGGCAACCCGCCGUCGUUCACCGCGUUGGACUGACGAGAAGUCACUCAACCCCCUCUUUGCACAGACGGGAGGCGAGGACUCAGACGACAGUGCAUCGCGCGGCGUUCUAUUAGGUAAGCACUGGUGAUCCCUUUACACCAAGA